rfam:Medicago truncatula strain A17 chromosome 1, whole genome shotgun sequence.
GCCCUUAUAGCUCAGUGGUAGAGCAUCAGUCUUUUCAACUGAAGGUCCGUAGUUCGAUCCUACGUGAGGGUA